UGGAUGGAAGCCAAUUUUCAGGGCGCCUAGCUGUUAAUUAGGAAGUUGUAGCUUUAGGUCUACCCAUCCAG
rnacentral:tRNA from 1 species